AGCUCCAAUAGCGUAUAUUAAAGUUGUUGCAGUUAAAAAGCUCGUAGUUGGAUUUCUGGCGGAGUGUCCUCCGGCUGACAGUUCGUUUGGUCCGGAGCGCUCCACCAUCCUUCUGUUAACCGUCACGGGAUUUACUUCCCGAGUCGGGGCUCAGAUAUUUUACCUUGAGAAAAUUAGAGUGUUUCAGGCAGGCUAGCGCCGGAAUACAUUAGCAUGGAAUAAUGGAAAAGGACUUCAACCUCUUCUGUUGGUCUGGGAGGCUGUAGUAAUGAUUAAUAGGGAUAGUUGGGGGCAUUAGUACUUGACUGUCAGAGGUGAAAUUCUCCGAUUUGUUAAAGACUAACUUAUGCGAAAGCAUUUGCCAAGGAUGUUU
rnacentral:rRNA from 1 species